AGAUCCUGGCUCAGGAUGAACGCUAGCGGCAGGCCUAACACAUGCAAGUCGAGGGGUAGAGGAAGCUUGCUUCCUUGAGACCGGCGCACGGGUGCGUAACGCGUAUGCAAUCUACCUUAUACAGGGGAAUAGCCCAGAGAAAUUUGGAUUAAUGCCCCAUGGUAUUAUAGAGUGGCAUCACUUUAUAAUUAAAGUUCCAACGGUAUAAGAUGAGCAUGCGUCCCAUUAGUUAGUUGGUAAGGUAACGGCUUACCAAGACGAUGAUGGGUAGGGGUCCUGAGAGGGAGAUCCCCCACACUGGUACUGAGACACGGACCAGACUCCUACGGGAGGCAGCAGUGAGGAAUAUUGGUCAAUGGGCGCAAGCCUGAACCAGCCAUGCCGCGUGCAGGAAGACGGUCCUAUGGAUUGUAAACUGCUUUUAUACAGGAAGAAACCCUCCCACGUGUGGGAGAUUGACGGUACUGUAGGAAUAAGGAUCGGCUAACUCCGUGCCAGCAGCCGCGGUAAUACGGGGGGUGCAAGCGUUACUCGGAAUCACUGGGCGUAAAGAGCAUGUAGGCGGAUUAAUAAGUUGGAAGUGAAAUCCUAUAGCUUAACUAUAGAACUGCUUCCAAAACUGUUGAUCUAGAAUAUGGGAGAGGUAGAUGGAAUUUCUGGUGUAGGGGUAAAAUCCGUAGAGAUCAGAAGGAAUACCGAUUGCGAAGGCGAUCUACUGGAACAUUAUUGACGCUCAGAUGCGAAAGCGUGGGGAGCAAACAGGAUUAGAUACCCUGGUAGUCCACGCCCUAAACGAUGUACACUAGUUGUUGCUAUACUAGAUAUGGCAGUAAUGCAGUUAACACUUUAAGUGUACCGCCUGGGGAGUACGGUCGCAAGAUUAAAACUCAAAGGAAUAGACGGGGACCCGCACAAGCGGUGGAGCAUGUGGUUUAAUUCGACGAUACGCGAAAACUACCUGGCCUUGACAUAGUAGGAACUUUCUAGAGAUAGAUUGGUGCUAGCUUGCUAGAACCUAUAUACAGGUGCUGCACGGCUGUCGUCAGCUCGUGUCGUGAGAUGUUGGGUUAAGUCCCGCAACGAGCGCAACCCACGUGAUUAGUUGCUAACGGUUUGGCCGAGAACUCUAAUCAGACUGCCUUCGUAAGGAGGAGGAAGGUGUGGACGACGUCAAGUCAUCAUGGCCCUUAUGGGUAGGGCUACACACGUCAUACAAUGGCCGGUACAGAGGGCUGCCAACCCGCGAGGGGGAGCUAAUCCCAGAAAAUGCAUCGUAGUCCGGAUCGUAGUCUGCAACUCGACUACGUGAAGCUGGAAUCGCUAGUAAUCGCGGAUCAGAAUGCCGCGGUGAAUACGUUCCCGGGUCUUGUACACACCGCCCGUCACACCAUGGGAGCGGGUCUCGCCAGAAGUAGUUAGCCUAACCGCAAGGAGGGCGAUUACCACGGCGGGGUUCGUGACUGGGGUGAAGUCGUAACAAGGUAACC
rnacentral:rRNA from 1 species